ensembl:misc_RNA
AUUCUGGUCUUGAUGACAUUGGAGAAUGGAGCGUAGGCCAGCCUAGAGGUGAGGAAUUCCUGAACACCCUAUGCCAGAUUUUUAUCUGAACUGUAAAGACAAUGUUUCCUGACCAGCUGGAGGU